AACGAACGCUGGCGGCAGGCUUAACACAUGCAAGUCGAACGCCCCGCAAGGGGAGUGGCAGACGGGUGAGUGACGCGUGGGAAUCUACCCAGUUCUACGGAACAACAGUUGGAAACGACUGCUAAUACCGUAUACGCCCUACGGGGGAAAGAUUUAUCGGAAUUGGAUGAGCCCGCGUAAGAUUAGCUAGUUGGUGGGGUAAUGGCCUACCAAGGCGACGAUCUUUAGCUGGUCUGAGAGGAUGAUCAGCCACACUGGGACUGAGACACGGCCCAGACUCCUACGGGAGGCAGGAGUGGGGAAAUUUGGGAAAUGGGCGCAAGCUUGAUCCAGCCAUGCCGCGUGGGUGAUGAAGGCCUUAGGGUUGUAAAGCUCUUUCACCGAUGAGGAUAAUGACGGUAGUCGGAGAAGAAGCCCCGGCUAACUUCGUGCCAGCAGCCGCCGUAACAC
rnacentral:rRNA from 1 species